UACGGAGGAUGCAAGCGUUAUCCGGAUUCACUGGGUUUAAAGGGUGCGUAGGCGGGAUUAUAAGUCAGUGGUGAAAGCCUACAGCUUAACUGUAGAACUGCCAUUGAUACUAUAGUUCUUGAGUUCGGUUGAGGUGGGCGGAAUGUGUAGUGUAGCGGUGAAAUGCUUAGAUAUUACACAGAACACCAAUUGCGAAGGCAGCUCACUAAACCGAUACUGACGCUGAGGCACGAAAGCGUGGGGAUCAAACAGGAUUAGAUACCCUGGUAGUCCACGCCGUAAACGAUGAUCACUCGCUGUUGGCGAUAUACCGUUCAGCGGCUAAGCGAAAGCAUUAAGUGAUCCACCUGGGGAGUACGAUCGCAAGAUUGAA
rnacentral:rRNA from 1 species